AUGAAGACCAAAGAUGCCAUAUCUUCCACACAGGGAUGGUCCGUGAAGGUCAUCAUCGACGGAGGAAGUUGCCACAACUUGGCUAGUGAAGAACUAUGCUCCAAGCUACAAUUGGUUAGGAUGAAGCACCCUUGCUCCUACAAGGUCCAAUGGCUUAGCAACUCCGGCACCAUUCAAGUCUCCUUCAAGAUUGGAGCAUAUGAAGACACUUUGGAGUGUGAUGUGGUUCCUAUGUCCGUUUACCAUCUACUACUUGGACGACCUUGGCAAUUUGAUCGUGGCGUCACCCACAACGGGCGAACCAAUCACUAUAGCUUCAAGAUGAAGGGAAAGGAGUAUGUGCUAUGA
rnacentral:rRNA from 1 species